CGCUUUUAUUUUGACACGCGCCCAUCCCCCCACAUCUCACGGUCGGAGUCAGUUUCACAGAGCAGCGCAGGAGGACGAGACAGACACAUAAAGAACAUUAACAGUUUAGUUUGAAUCUCUCUCAGUCAGUCAGGGGGAGAUUAACUGACAGACUGUAUAACGUUACACGUCUUACCAAGAAACCAUUAAAAGUUUAGCACAAAUGUGUCUCGUGGAAGUUUGAAUCUCUCUCAGUCAGGGGGGAGAUUGACUGACAGACUGUCUACUUGCCACCAGACAGAAAUUUACCCUGAAACCUUUUUAAGUAAGGACUAACGUAAACUGACUCUCUGUCUGCUCUCAACCAAACAGUCAUUUAAGACCUUCUAAAGCUUAGCGCAAACGUUUCCUGCGCAAGUUUGAAUCUCUCAGUCAGGGGGGAGAUUGACUGACUGACUGACUGUCUACUCGCCACCAAACGUCAAAAGUCAGUUACACAGAAUCCUUUUAAAGGCAACGUUACCACAUUUAUUUAUUUAUUAUGUUGCGUGAGUACACCACAGUUAUUUUAGCACAAACGUUUCCCGCGCAAGUUUGGAUCUUUACCAUUGAGGGUGGCUGACUGUUCUCGACCAACCAUCAUUCACACGCAAAAACUUUAAAGAUAAGUAUGAACGUGCCCAGAGCAGUUUUCGAUCUUUACCAUUAAGGAGGCUGACUGACUAUCGUCUACCACCCGUCAUUAACACAACAAAAACUAAAGAAAUGUUACUCCAUAUGGACCUUUUCAUUUACUCAUUAUGCUGUGAGUACACCACAGUUUUAUCAGGGAAAAAAUGUAUAUUUGUGUGUUUCUCACUGCUUGGCAAGGACAGAUGUGGCCCUGUUAAAAAUGUUUAAAUGUCGUUUGGUUUAAGGAACAGCACACUGAUUUUGUUUUAAAAUAUUCCUGUUUGGACAGUCUGUUAAAGCCAUAAAGGAAUACUUGAUAUAUUUCAUAAGUAAAGUGUAAAUGUAAUAUUAGUUUUUAAUGUUGUGAAUUUGGACUGAACAGCACACUUCUGUUUUAUAUCUAAACCUUUUGUAAAAUAAAUGAUUGUUCAAUAAACUGUGUAUUUUA